UGGGGAAUCUUGCACAAUGGGGGCAACCCUGAUGCAGCGACGCCGCGUGAGCGAUGAAGGUUUUCGAAUCGUAAAGCUCUGUCCUAUGGGAAGAUAAUGACGGUACCAUAGAAGAAAGCCCCGGCUAAUUACGUGCCAGCAGCCGCGGUAAUACGUAAGGGGCGAGCGUUGUCCGGAAUUAUUGGGCGUAAAGAGUGCGUAGGCGGCAAAUUAAGUCAGAUGUGAAAACUAAGGGCUCAACCCAUAGAUUGCAUCUGAAACUGAUAUGCUUGAGUCAAGGAGAGGAAAGUGGAAUUCCUAGUGUAGCGGUGGAAUGCGUAGAUAUUAGGAGGAAUACCGGUGGCGAAGGCGACUUUCUGGACUUGAACUGACGCUGAGGCACGAAAGCGUGGGGAGCAAACAGG
rnacentral:rRNA from 1 species